GACGGGUGGUGCGCGGCGGGCGCGCGGGUCGAGAGAGCGUGGCGGCGCGGCCCGGAGCGCAGCGCGCGGCAGGGCUCCCCCUGGCGGUCAGAGGACAGCGCGAGGCAGACACCGCCUCCGCCUGGUGAGGUAGACACCGCCUCCGCCUGGUGAGGUCUCCCGGCGUUCAGGUCGCGGCUCCGCCCACGGCCGCCCCAGGGUGGGCUUCCUACACGUCUCUUUAAAGGGCAGCCUGAGCGGCCACCGGGACUCGGAAAUGCUACGUAGUUUUCGUUCUCAGAAGCAGCUGUUUAUGCGCAAGCGCCCCCUUCUUCUUUUCGCUUUGCUACCUUCAAGGACCUUCUCCCAAACUGCUAAUUUUUCUUCAUCCGUUAAAGGUCUAUUGAUUCACAUUAUUUGCUGGCAGUGUGUGAAGUCAACGAACAAGACUGAGUCUUUGCCCUUGAGACGCGUACACUCUACCCAGAGACAAGUUCUAAGCACAGGAAACAAGUAAUUUUAUAAGAACAUCAUAGGGCAGUUAUUCUCCAGAUGAAUUCAGAUUAAAGAGGACACUUGAGCCGGAUUUGGAGGAAGAGAGCCAUGGUUUGGAAUAGAACAUGAACGAGUGCAGAGGAGUGGAAAUUACCACAGUUUGUUCUGAAGACUGGAUACAGCGGCACCUUCCUGGAGCAGUGGUACCCCUUAAAGGUGAAGGGAACGUGGGUGUUGCAACAGAGGACCAUUAUCAAGAAGACUCUUUUGGGUUUGGUCUGAGAGGCACUGGGAAACCUCUUAAACUUGAGUAAGGUAGAGUCUUGACUCAAAGUAAUAAAUUGGCAAAAAACUCCACA